rnacentral:rRNA from 1 species
UACGUAGGGGGCAAGCGUUGUCCGGAAUCAUUGGGCGUAAAGAGCGCGUAGGCGGUCCGGUAAGUCCGCUCUGAAAGUCCGGGGCUCAACCCCGGGAGGCGGGCGGAUACUGUCGGGCUAGAGUCCGGAAGAGGCGAGUGGAAUUCUUGGUGUAGCGGUGAAAUGCGCAGAUAUCAGGAGGAACACCAAUGGCGAAGGCAGCUCGCUGGGACGGUACUGACGCUGAGGCGCGAAAGCGUGGGGAGCAAACAGG